rnacentral:rRNA from 1 species
GACGAACGCUGGCGGCGUGCUUAACACAUGCAAGUCGAACGGAAAGGCCCUGCUGUUGUGGGGUGCUCGAGUGGCGAACGGGUGAGUAACACGUGAGUAACCUGCCCUUGACUUUGGGAUAACUUCAGGAAACUGGGGCUAAUACCGGAUAGGAGCUCCUGCUGCAUGGUGGGGGUUGGAAAGUUUCGGCGGUUGGGGAUGGACUCGCGGCUUAUCAGCUUGUCGGUGGGGUAGUGGCUUACCAAGGCGUUGACGGGUAGCCGGCCUGAGAGGGUGACCGGCCACAUUGGGACUGAGAUACGGCCCAGACUCCUACGGGAGGCAGCAGUGGGGAAUAUUGCACAAUGGGCGGAAGCCUGAUGCAGCAACGCCGCGUGCGGGAUGACGGCCUUCGGGUUGUAAACCGCUUUCGCCUGUGACGAAGCGUGAGUGACGGUAAUGGGUAAAGAAGCACCGGCUAACUACGUG